GUCACACAUAGUUUUAGGUAUCCCUUGAGAGCAUUACUGUCUGUGUGUAUUCCUUUACCAGUUAGGAGAAUCCCCAUUCUGUUAAAGAUCCACUAAUAAUUUGUGUUCUCGUCUACAAAUUGGGUUCAUGCCUGGGAUAGCCUGGUAUUGUCCACACUGAUGCCAUCUCAUUGAGAGGGGAUAUUUCUUUUGUCAAGGAUUUUUUCCAUUUUGUUUUACUCAUUAUCAUGUCACUGUAGCAAUGUGUCUGCUGUCAUUGUG